GAUGAACGCUGGCGGCGUGCCUAAUACAUGCAAGUCGAGCGAACGGACGAGAAGCUUGCUUCUCUGAUGUUAGCGGCGGACGGGUGAGUAACACGUGGAUAACCUACCUAUAAGACUGGGAUAACUUCGGGAAACCGGAGCUAAUACCGGAUAAUAUUUUGAACCGCAUGGUUCAAAAGUGAAAGACGGUCUUGCUGUCACUUAUAGAUGGAUCCGCGCUGCAUUAGCUAGUUGGUAAGGUAACGGCUUACCAAGGCAACGAUGCAUAGCCGACCUGAGAGGGUGAUCGGCCACACUGGAACUGAGACACGGUCCAGACUCUACGGGAGGCAGCAGUAGGGAAUCUUCCGCAAUGGGCGAAAGCCUGACGGAGCAACGCCGCGUGAGUGAUGAAGGUCUUCGGAUCGUAAAACUCUGUUAUUAGGGAAGAACAUAUGUGUAAGUAACUGUGCACAUCUUGACGGUACCUAAUCAGAAAGCCACGGCUAACUACGUG
rnacentral:rRNA from 1 species